ACUGCAUGGCGACGGUUGUGGGCGGUGAUGGCGGCGGAGGCGUUGGUCGUUCUCGUUGGCUCUGCCCGGAGUGGCUGCAGACGGCUCUUGGCAGGGAAGAGAGCCUUCUGGGGAGCGGAGGGGAUGCUGUCAUAACGAAACGCGUCUCGGAGAAACAGAAACGCGGGAGAGUGCUUCCCCCUCCCCUGUGAUACAAAGCACCAUGAAUGUCAACAACUGGAAAGUUGCUUAAAAUCACUUAAAAAAAAAAAAAAUUCUCAGCAUUCUCCCGAUCAGUUCAUCACAGCCCGUGUUCAUGAAGACUGUUGUUAAAUGCAACCCUGCAGCGGGGAGUGAGGUAUUUUUAGACCCAACAGAGCAUACGUCUGGGUAAAAACACCAGCACAGGCACUGUGUAAGGCAGAUGGUCACCAUCCCAGCAUGGGAUGAUUCUGCCUUUAGGAUUAAGAUCCCAGGAAGCACCCAUAUCGCCUCUGCUGAUCUGGGAAUGGCGGAUGCCACAGCUCAGACCAGGCGAGGGAAGCUGAGGCUCUGCUCCAUCUCCCUGGGGUUGCUGAGCCCCAAAGAGGCUGCCCGCAGUGAUCCUGAGAUGUUCUGUGAGAUACCUGAAAUAGCAGAAUUAGAGGAAACCAAAGUGAACAGGUAUUCAUUAGAUCUGAGAAUAAAAUUUCCUCUGACAAUGAGGUGGAGCAGGAAAGGAAAGACAUAGUUCAUAACUCUGCCUCUAUGACACCAACAAGCAGAGCUUCGUCUUCCAGAAGGCAUCUUGGUGCAGUCAACAAGUACCAGCUGUGUCACCGCGGUCUCUGCAUGAGCAAACAAUUACAGGACAGAGCCACACCUGGAUUUGUGCCUGCAAGUGAGGCUGCUCAGACAGACCACAUGACUGAUCCAACAAAGAUGGCUUCACACCACAAAUGGAAGAGCUUUAUUAUUCAGCAGAUUCAAAGCACUGCCAAAGAAUUUUGAAGGCUACACCCCUACUAGAGAUGAAGAUUGUUCAGAGUACCUAUUUUUUCUUCACAACAGAAUACUGUAUGCAGAAUCCAGUAUAGUGAAGCAGUGAAAUCUUAUUUGUGUGAGUUCUUCCUACAGAAAUACACAAGUAAAUAACC
rnacentral:lncRNA from 7 species